rfam:Macrostomum lignano uti_cns_0006843, whole genome shotgun sequence.
GGGGUUGUAGCCUAGUGGUUAAAGCGUCGGAUUCACGACUUGAAGGUCGGGGGUUCGAUUCCCAAUCCCA